rnacentral:rRNA from 1 species
ACCUCUGGUGUUCCGGUUGUCACGCCAGUGGCAUUGCCGGGUAGCUAUGUACGGCAGGGAUAACUGCUGAAAGCAUCUAAGCGGGAAGCCCCUCCUGAAAUGAGGUCUCACCGGGAACUUGAUUCCCCUGUAGGGCCCUGGAAGACUACCAGGUUGAUAGGCUGGGUGUGGAAGUCCAGUAAUGGAUGAAGCUAACCAGUACUAAUUGCCCGUGCGGCUUGACCAUAUAACACUCAAGCA